rnacentral:rRNA from 1 species
UGGGGAAUUUUGGGCAAUGGGCGAAAGCCUGACCCAGCAACGCCGCGUGAAGGAUGAAGUAUUUCGGUAUGUAAACUUCGAAAGAAUAGGAAGAAUAAAUGACGGUACUAUUUAUAAGGUCCGGCUAACUACGUGCCAGCAGCCGCGGUAAUACGUAGGGACCAAGCGUUGUUCGGAUUUACUGGGCGUAAAGGGCGCGUAGGCGGCAAUUCAAGUCAUCUGUGAAAUCUCCGGGCUUAACUCGGAACGGUCAGAUGAUACUGCUUUGCUAGAGUGCAGAAGGGGCAAUCGGAAUUCUUGGUGUAGCGGUGAAAUGCGUAGAUAUCAAGAGGAACACCUGAGGUGAAGACGGGUUGCUGGGCUGACACUGACGCUGAGGCGCGAAAGCCAGGGGAGCAAA